GUGGUGGUCAGAAGGCCUCCUGCCUCUGUCUUGAAGAUGACUGUUGAUGAGAUGGCCUUGAUGAAGUUAACGAAAAUAACAAAGUACAGAAUCUUUGCCAUGGCUUCACAUUAUCCCAUCACAUACUCUGAGGAUGAUCAUUGAACUGCACAUAGAAAAGGGAUAAGUGCAGACGCCAUAGCACGGAAAGCAUGGAGC